rnacentral:rRNA from 1 species
UACGUAGGCAGCAAGCGUUGUUCGGAAUUACUGGGCGUAAAGAGUGUGUAGGCGGUGUUCUAAGUCUGUUGUGAAAUCUCCCGGCUUAACUGGGAGGGUGCGGCGGAAACUGGAAUGCUAGAGGAUGGGAGAGGUAAGCGGAAUUCCUGGUGUAGCGGUGAAAUGCGUAGAUAUCAGGAGGAACACCUGCGGUGUAGACGGCUUUCUGGACCAUUGUUGACGCUGAGACACGAAAGCGUGGGUAGCAAACAGG